rnacentral:sRNA from 1 species
CUCUUCUUUCUCUUUUUCCGCGAACACGCAUGUUAUGAAAUAUGCUUCUGUUUGCAUAACAUC